ACUUUAUUUAAUUUAAAUCUCAAACUCUUAAAUCCCAUAUAACACUUUAUUUAAUUUAAAUCUCAAACUCUUAAAUCCCAACUCCAUUCCCUCGUUCCAAACACUCCCAGUUGAAAAUCACUAAAUUUUAGACUUUAAAUGGGAGCACAGGGCAAUAAAACCUGAAAAAUUGGAAGUCUCGUACUCAGAGAUUCUUGUUGAUUAUCAAAAGAGAUGGAGAGAGUAAAGACGGUGAUAAAGAUCGUGACUUUAUUUCUGCUCUACCCUCUAACAUUAGCCCUUUCCGAAGAACCCCAGCUUGGAUCAACGCGUGUAGUCUUCCAGACAAAUUAUGGAGAUGUUGAAUUUGGUUUCUAUCCUAGUGUGGCACCCAAAACAGUUGAACACAUUUACAAACUUGUUCGCUUGGGAUGUUAUAAUACCAAUCACUUUUUCCGGGUUGACAAGGGCUUUGUAGCUCAAGUUGCUGACGUUGUAGGAGGCAGAACAGCUCCAAUGAAUGAUGAACAGAGGGAAGAAGCCAAGAAAACUGUUGUUGGUGAAUUUAGUAAGGUCAAACAUGUUAGGGGUAUCCUUUCAAUGGGGAGGUAUGAUGAUCCAAAUAGUGCAGCAUCUUCCUUCUCAAUACUUCUUGGUGAUGCUCCUCAUCUUGAUGAACAGUAUGCAAUUUUUGGUAAGGUCACUAAGGGAGAUGAGACCUUGACAAAGCUUGAGGAGCUUCCUACCCGAAAAGAGGGCAUUUUUGUAAUGCCCGUGAAGCGGAUCACCAUCCUUUCUUCUUACUACUAUGGUGAGGAUUUAUUUGAAAUCCUCCUUGCCGUCAUAGGUAAACAGCAAAACAUGUGAAGCGGAGAGAUCAAUUUUAAAAAGACGUCUUGCUUCUGCUUCUGUUGAAAUUGAAAGAUGGAGAAUGAAGUGCUUCCCCUGACUCUGUUGACAAUACGAGAAUCAUGGAUUUUCAAUGAUUGGUUUGAUUAUAAGAAAUCACAGAGAGUUUUGCUUGCUUUCCCUCAAUAUUGGAUUACUCUGGGCAACUACAGAGAUGAAUAGGCUGUGCGGAUGACCUUCAUUUAUUCUGUUGUAGGAGUUGCAAAAAUUUGUAGUUCUUUGGUUCCAAAUGUUAUGGACCAUAGUAAAAUGUCAAGAUCACAAUUGGAAUUGACUUAUUUGUAAUUUCAAAGGAAGCAUCUCGUACGUUUGUCAACCUCUUUGUAAUUGAAAUGUUUCUUACAUCUGUCCAAUGCUCUUGCUUCUUACAACUUGUGGAAAGAAAAAUGAAUCCUGAUUGUGGAUUUUGAAUUGGUUGCAUUUUACAUUGGAAA